UGGGGAAUUUUGCACAAUGGGCGGAAGCCUGAUGCAGCGACGCCGUGUGGGGGAUGAAGGCCUUCGGGUUGUAAACUCCUUUCGUCAGGGACGAAGUUUGUUUGACGGUACCUGGAUAAGAAGCACCGGCUAACUACGUGCCAGCAGCCGCGGUAAUACGUAGGGUGCGAGCGUUGUCCGGAUUUACUGGGCGUAACGGGCUCGUAGGUGGUGUGUUGCGUCGUCUGUGUAAUCCAGGGGCUUAACUUUUGGUUGGCAGGCGAUACGGGCAUUGUUUGAGUGCUGUAGUGGAUACUGGAAUUCCUGGUGUAGCGGUGAAAUGCGCAGAUAUCAGGAGGAACACCGAUGGCGAAGGCAGGUCUCUGGGCAGUUACUGACGCUGAGGAGCGAGAGCAUGGGUAGCGAACAGG
rnacentral:rRNA from 1 species